rnacentral:rRNA from 1 species
GCAGAGACUAACCCUCGUACCUUUUGCAUCAUGGUUUAGCAAGUAAACGCAAGCAAAGAGCCCUCUAGUUUGUACCCCCGAAACUUGGCGAGCUACUCCGGGACAGUCAUUUUGGACCAACCCGUCUCUGUUGCAAAAGAGUGGGAAGAUCUCUGAGUAGAGGCAACACCCCUACCGAGCCAGGUUAUAGCUGGUUGCCCAGUAAAUGAAUAAAAGUUCAGCCCCGCACAGCCCGUGUCAAAGAAGUCCUACUAAUAAAGACAAAGAGCUUAUCGCGGGAGUUAGUCGGAGGAGGAACAGCUCCCCCGACCAAGGAAACAACCUUCAUAGGAGAUUUAAGAACACUUUACUUUAAGGCCCCGGGUGUUGGUGGGCCUGAAAGCAGCCAUCCAUCUAGAAAGCGUUAAAGCUCUGACCCAAAUAAAGCCUAUUAUACCGUUCCUUAGUCUUAUAUCCCUCCUGCUCACUGGGCCCCCCUAUGCCCACAUAGGAGCGAUCAUGCUAAAACUAGUAACAAGAAGAACGAACUUCUCCAUGCACAAGUGUAAGUCGAAUUUGACAACCUAUCGACGAUUAACGAACCCAACAGAAGAGGGCCCUAUACCUCAGCCCAUUUAAGCCAAGAAAAUUAUAUUUAGUUUUAUCGUUACCCCCACACAGGAGUGCUAGAAUAAGGAAAGACUAAAAGAGAGAAAAGGAACUCGGCAAACUUAAACCCCGCCUGUUUACCAAAAACAUCGCCUCUUGAAUCAACAGUAUAAGAGG